rnacentral:ncRNA from 1 species
AGGAGUCGUAUGAGGUGAAAAUCUCACGUACGGUUUUGGAACGGAGAAUUCUUUGAAUCGAAUGACGACCGUAAC